rnacentral:rRNA from 1 species
AGUCAACGCUGGCGGCGUGCCUAACACAUGCAAGUCGAACGCGAAAGCCCCGCAAGGGGUAAGUAGAGUGGCAAACGGGUGAGUAACACGUGGGUGACCUGCCUUCGAGUGGGGGAUAACGUCCCGAAAGGGACGCUAAUACCGCAUGACAUCCUGCUUUUGAAAAAGCGGAGAUCAAAGCUGGGGAUCGCAAGACCUAGCGCUUGAAGAGGGGCCCGCGCCUGAUUAGCUAGUUGGUGAGGUAACGGCUCACCAAGGCGACGAUCAGUAUCCGGCCUGAGAGGGCGGACGGACACACUGGGACUGAGACACGGCCCAGACUCCUACGGGAGGCAGCAGGGGGGAAUUGUUCGCAAUGGGCGCAAGCCUGACGACGCAACGCCGCGUGGAGGACGAAGAUCUUCGGGUCGUAAACUCCUGUCGAGCGGGACGAACGCUUCGCGGAUGAAUAAUCCGCGGAAUUGACGGUACCGCUAAAGGAAGCCCCGGCUAACUCCGUG